GGGUCUGGGAUAACCGUUGGAAACGACGGCUAAUACCGGAUGAUAUCGAGAGAUCAAAGAUUUAUCGCCCUGGGAUGAGCCCGCGUAGGAUUAGCUGGUUGGUGGGGUAAAGGCCUACCAAGGCGACGAUCCUUAGCUGGUCUGAGAGGAUGAUCAGCCACACUGGGACUGAGACACGGCCCAG
rnacentral:rRNA from 1 species